CCUACGGGAGGCAGCAGUGGGGAAUUUUGGACAAUGGGCGCAAGCCUGAUCCAGCAAUGCCGCGUGAGUGAAGAAGGCCUUCGGGUUGUAAAGCUCUUUUGUCAGGGAAGAAACGGUGGGGGCUAAUAUCCCUCGCUAAUGACGGUACCUGAAGAAUAAGCACCGGCUAACUACGUGCCAGCAGCCGCGGUAAUACGUAGGGUGCAAGCGUUAAUCGGAAUUACUGGGCGUAAAGCGUGCGCAGGCGGUUUUGUAAGUCUGUCGUGAAAGCCCCGGGCUCAACCUGGGAAUUGCGAUGGAGACUGCAAGGCUUGAAUCUGGCAGAGGGGGGUAGAAUUCCACGUGUAGCAGUGAAAUGCGUAGAGAUGUGGAGGAACACCGAUGGCGAAGGCAGCCCCCUGGGUCAAGAUUGACGCUCAUGCACGAAAGCGUGGGGAGCAAACAGGAUUAGAUACCCUGGUAGUCCACGCCCUAAACGAUGUCUACUAGUUGUCGGGUUUUAAUUAACUUGGUAACGCAGCUAACGCGCGAAGUAGACCGCCUGGGGAGUACGGUCGCAAGAUUAAAACUUAAGAUAGUAGCGUGAGAGACGCGACGACGACGACGACGGAGGAGGAG
rnacentral:rRNA from 1 species